CCUACGGGUGGCAGCAGUGAGGAAUAUUGGUCAAUGGGCGCUAGCCUGAACCAGCCAAGUAGCGUGAAGGAUGACUGCCCUAUGGGUUGUAAACUUCUUUUAUAUGGGAAUAAAGUGCAGUAUGUAUACUGCUUUGCAUGUACCUUAUGAAUAAGGAUCGGCUAACUCCGUGCCAGCAGCCGCGGUACUACGGAGGCUCCGAUCGUUAUCCGGAUUUGUUGGGUGUAAAGGGAGCGGAGGCGGGUUGGUCAGUCAGUUGUGAAAGUUUGCGGCUCAACCGUAAAAUUGCAGUUGAUACUGGCAGCCGAGAGUACAGUAGAGGUAGGCGGAAUUCGUGGUGUAGCGGUGAAAUGCUUAGAUAUCACGAAGAACUCCGAGUGCGAAGGCAGCCUGCUGGACUGUAACUGACGCUGAUGCUCGAAAGUGUGGGUAUCAAACAGGAUUAGAUACCCCGGUAGUC
rnacentral:rRNA from 1 species